UACAGAGGGUGCAAGCGUUAAUCGGAUUUACUGGGCGUAAAGGGCGCGUAGGUGGUUGUUUAAGUGAGAUGUGAAAGCCCCGGGCUCAACCUGGGAACUGCAUCUUAUACUGGGCAACUGGAGUACAUGGGAGGGUAGUGGAAUUUCCGGUGUAGCGGUGAAAUGCGUAGAUAUCGGAAGGAACACCAGUGGCGAAGGCGGCUACCUGGCAUGAUACUGACACUGAGGCGCGAGAGCGUGGGGAGCAAACAGG
rnacentral:rRNA from 1 species